UUAAAUUGAAGAGUUUGAUCAUGGCUCAGAUUGAACGCUGGCGGCAGGCCUAACACAUGCAAGUCGAGCGGUAACAGGAAAGCGCUUGCGCUUUUGCUGACGAGCGGCGGACGGGUGAGUAAUGUCUGGGGAUCUGCCCGAGGGCGGGGGAUAACCACUGGAAACGGUGGCUAAUACCGCAUAAUGUCGCGAGACCAAAGUGGGGGACCUGAAAGGG
rnacentral:rRNA from 5 species